UAACCGGUGGUGUUCUGCGAAAC
rnacentral:siRNA from 1 species